rnacentral:rRNA from 1 species
GGUUAAGCGACUAAGCGUACACGGUGGAUGCCCUGGCAGUCAGAGGCGAUGAAGGACGUGCUAAUCUGCGAAAAGCGCCGGCGAGGUGAUAUGAACCUUUGACCCGGCGAUGUCCGAAUGGGGAAACCCAGUGCAAUCCGUUGCACUAUCGUUAACUGAAUACAUAGGUUAACGAGGCGAACCGGGGGAACUGAAACAUCUAAGUACCCCGAGGAAAAGAAAUCAACCGAGAUUCCCCCAGUAGCGGCGAGCGAACGGGGAGCAGCCCGGAGUCUGAAUCAGCUUGUGUGUUAGUGGAACGGUCUGGAAAGUCCGACGGUACAGGGUGAUAGUCCCGUACACGAAAGCACACAUGCUGUGAACUCGAAGAGUAGGGCGGGACACGUGGUAUCCUGUCUGAAUAUGGGGGGACCAUCCUCCAAGGCUAAAUACUCCUGACUGACCGAUAGUGAACCAGUACCGUGAGGGAAAGGCGAAAAGAACCCCGGCGAGGGGAGUGAAAAAGAACCUGAAACCGUGUACGUACAAGCAGUGGGAGCCUCUUUAUGGGGUGACUGCGUACCUUUUGUAUAAUGGGUCAGCGACUUAUAUUCUGUAGCAAGGUUAACCGUAUAGGGGAGCCGAAGGGAAACCGAGUCUUAACUGGGCGUUAAGUUGCAGGGUAUAGACCCGAAACCCGGUGAUCUAGCCAUGGGCAGGUUGAAGGUUGGGUAACACUAACUGGAGGACCGAACCGACUAAUGUUGAAAAAUUAGCGGAUGACCUGUGGCUGGGGGUGAAAGGCCAAUCAAACCGGGAGAUAGCUGGUUCUCCCCGAAAGCUAUUUAGGUAGCGCCUCGUGAACUCAUCUUCGGGGGUAGAGCACUGUUUCGGCUAGGGGGCCAUCCCGGCUUACCAACCCGAUGCAAACUACGAAUACCGAAGAAUGUUAUCACGGGAGACACACGGCGGGUGCUAACGUCCGUCGUGAAGAGGGAAACAACCCAGACCGCCAGCUAAGGUCCCAAAGUCAUGGUUAAGUGGGAAACGAUGUGGGAAGGCACAGACAGCCAGGAUGUUGGCUUAGAAGCAGCCAUCAUUUAAAGAAAGCGUAAUAGCUCACUGGUCGAGUCGGCCUGCGCGGAAGAUGUAACGGGGCUAAACCAUGCACCGAAGCUGCGGCAGCGACGCUUAUGCGUUGUUGGGUAGGGGAGCGUUCUGUAAGCCGUUGAAGGUGUCCUGUGAGGGGUGCUGGAGGUAUCAGAAGUGCGAAUGCUGACAUAAGUAACGAUAAAGCGGGUGAAAAGCCCGCUCGCCGGAAGACCAAGGGUUCCUGUCCAACGUUAAUCGGGGCAGGGUGAGUCGACCCCUAAGGCGAGGCCGAAAGGCGUAGUCGAUGGGAAACAGGUUAAUAUUCCUGUACUUGGUGUUACUGCGAAGGGGGGACGGAGAAGGCUAUGUCAGCCGGGCGACGGUUGUCCCGGUUUAAGCAUGUAGGCGGAGGUUCCAGGUAAAUCCGGUACCUUAUUAACGCUGAGGUGUGAUGACGAGGCACUACGGUGCUGAAGUGAUAAAUGCCCUGCUUCCAGGAAAAGCCUCUAAGCAUCAGGUAACACGAAAUCGUACCCCAAACCGACACAGGUGGUCAGGUAGAGAAUACCAAGGCGCUUGAGAGAACUCGGGUGAAGGAACUAGGCAAAAUGGUGCCGUAACUUCGGGAGAAGGCACGCUGAUAUGUAGGUGAAGUCCCUGCGGACGGAGCUGAAAUCAGUCGAAGAUACCAGCUGGCUGCAACUGUUUAUUAAAAACACAGCACUGUGCAAACACGAAAGUGGACGUAUACGGUGUGACGCCUGCCCGGUGCCGGAAGGUUAAUUGAUGGGGUUAGCGGCAACGCGAAGCUCUUGAUCGAAGCCCCGGUAAACGGCGGCCGUAACUAUAACGGUCCUAAGGUAGCGAAAUUCCUUGUCGGGUAAGUUCCGACCUGCACGAAUGGCGUAAUGAUGGCCAGGCUGUCUCCACCCGAGACUCAGUGAAAUUGAACUCGCUGUGAAGAUGCAGUGUACCCGCGGCAAGACGGAAAGACCCCGUGAACCUUUACUAUAGCUUGACACUGAACACUGGUCCUUGAUGUGUAGGAUAGGUGGGAGGCUUUGAAGCGUGGACGCCAGUCUGCGUGGAGCCAACCUUGAAAUACCACCCUUUAAUGGCUGGUGUUCUAACGUAGACCCGUAAUCCGGGUUGCGGACAGUGUCUGGUGGGUAGUUUGACUGGGGCGGUCUCCUCCCAAAGAGUAACGGAGGAGCACGAAGGUUGGCUAAUCCUGGUCGGACAUCAGGAGGUUAGUGCAAUGGCAUAAGCCAGCUUGACUGCGAGCGUGACGGCGCGAGCAGGUGCGAAAGCAGGUCAUAGUGAUCCGGUGGUUCUGAAUGGAAGGGCCAUCGCUCAACGGAUAAAAGGUACUCCGGGGAUAACAGGCUGAUACCGCCCAAGAGUUCAUAUCGACGGCGGUGUUUGGCACCUCGAUGUCGGCUCAUCACAUCCUGGGGCUGAAGUAGGUCCCAAGGGUAUGGCUGUUCGCCAUUUAAAGUGGUACGCGAGCUGGGUUUAGAACGUCGUGAGACAGUUCGGUCCCUAUCUGCCGUGGGCGCUGGAGAAUUGAGGGGGGCUGCUCCUAGUACGAGAGGACCGGAGUGGACGCAUCACUGGUGUUCGGGUUGUCAUGCCAAUGGCACUGCCCGGUAGCUAAAUGCGGAAAAGAUAAGUGCUGAAAGCAUCUAAGCACGAAACUUGCCCCGAGAUGAGUUCUCCCUGAGACUUUAAGUCUCCUGAAGGAACGUUGAAGACGACGACGUUGAUAGGUCGGGUGUGUAAGCGCAGCGAUGCGUUGAGCUAACCGAUACUAAUGAACCGUGAGGCUUAACCUU